AAUAUUAAAUCUAAUUAGAAAAUUAAUUUUUUUUUGUUUCAGAAGCAGUUAAUUUUGAAAAAGCAUGCAGAAAAAAAAAUUUUUAAAAUACUUGCACUAAAACUCUUCAGCUCUACUCAUUUUGAUAAAAUUUUAUUAACAAGGAAUUAUUCAACUACAAUCAAUAUUAAGAGUACCUUGACACUAUUUAUUCACAUAUUUAAAUAAAAACUUCAAGUUUACGUAUAAACAUUUGUACAAAACGCUUAAUUGAUCAUUACUCAUUCAGAAAGAUUCAGUCCUUGAAGAAACGGCCGGAGAAUGUCACCAUUAAAGGGCAUUUAAUUUAUUUUAAGUGAAGAAAGUGCAGCUGAAUCGCGAACCUGCCGGAGAGUUCGAUGCGUGCCAGACGAGGUGCGAGACUCGUUUGCGGUCG